rnacentral:rRNA from 1 species
AUGAAGGAUGAAGCUAAUGAGGUUGUGGAGGCGAUUGCCAAGAAGAUUGUCCAAGACAUGCCCUAUGAGGCGUGCGUUGAUGCUGUGGUGAUGUAUUUCGCGCACGAACGCAAAAUGCUUCUCAAAAAGUCUCUAGCCCGGAGAGUGCAUCUCACCCGUUCCAUGUACAUGAAGGCGGUUCCCUCGUGGUGCAACAACAAUGUUCCUUGCUACCAGCAAAUCAUAUCCAAAUGGAUAGACCCGGAGUGGAGGGUCCAACAUCGAAUGGCUUCGGAGCGGCGUGCCUUGAUGGGUGGUCCGGUACACCUUCAAGGCAACCUCAACCUCCACGCUUACGUGCAGAAGAAGAAUAGGGAGAGAGGUGAGGGCCAAGAGAAGCUCAAUACCUUCACGGGAUUAUGUCUCUCCCGCAAGUCAAAGAAACCGGAAGGGGGGUGGGUCAACCCAGGCGCUGGCUUGAGGAUUGAUGCAUAUAGUGGAAAGUUCAAGGAGCACAACGGGCCUGACUCUGAUCCGGCCUCACAGGACAUUGACGCUACAAUUUCCCUCCGGUCGGGAGAGGGCAAGAAGGGUGGCCGGUUAUAUGUUGGCGACGGUGCCAUCCGUAAGAAGGACAUCUCAAAACUCUCUCACCUUCGUGCUACCACGUCGAGCUCAGGUCCUGCUAUAGAGCGUCGCCCACAGCCUGGGCUGCACAUGCUCCAUCAACUCGAGGCCAAUGCCAUGCUUCGAGAGGAGGAAGCCAUGAAAAUGCAGCAGGCCCUGUUUCAACAGCAAGAAUUCAUGGUUAAACAACAGGCAAUCCUGCAGGAGACAUUUGCUCAACUCAGAAAUAAUAUGCAGGGUUCCACUUUGCCCGUUCUUCCUCCUCUUCCGACUCUUCCUAAUUUCAACUUUUUUUCUCAGUCGGGACAAGGCUCCAAUAACUGUGUGGUAGGUGGAUCUUCACCUGGCCAAGCAAGUCCAGUGACACCCACUACGGUUCAUGUCGCUUCGACCUCCCCGCAACAAUGA